GACAGAGGGUGCAAGCGUUGUUCGGAAUUACUGGGCGUAAAGCGCGUGUAGGCGGCCCUGCAAGUCGGUUGUGAAAUCCCACGGCUCAACCGUGGAAGUGCAUUCGAAACUGCAGGGCUAGAGUCCUGGAGAGGAAGGUGGAAUGCUUGGUGUAGAGGUGGAAUUCGUAGAUAUCAAGCGGAACACCGGUGGCGAAGGCGGCCUUCUGGACAGUGACUGACGCUGAGACGCGAAAGCGUGGGGAGCAAACAGG
rnacentral:rRNA from 1 species